rnacentral:lncRNA from 1 species
AAAUUUAAAUGGAAAGUAAAUAUCAAGUUGUUAGCAUUAAAGAAAACCCAUUUCAGAGAGCUGGAGAUGUAACAUUCGAGGGACCUUCUCUCUCCUUCACUCUUCCUCACUUUUCUUUCAUUUUCCUUUGUUCCUUUCUUCCCCCUCAUUUUCCUCAUUCUCUCUGUCUCUCCUUCUUUCCUGUUCUCAGAUUCUCAGGCAGGAGAAGCCUUCGUUUCCCUGAGAUGGCUUCUGAACUGCUGCUUUGGACCAGACCUCGCUUAAACUGAGGUUCAAAGCUGUGAAGGGCUCAGGACCAUCCUCUGGCCCUUUCCUCUGGAGCCUGCUCGACAACCCUCCCUGCUGUCAGUGCCUGGAGCCGGGCUGGGCAGAGCCAGGGAAGGUGGCAUCUGCACCCGGAGCACCACGUGCCCUCGCUGCUGUGAGCUGAGAAAUCUCGGAUACAGAAGACUCUCUUUGUGUGCCUAAAAGGAAGUGAUAAUCUGAAGUCCAUGUAAAAACAUUUAAUGGCAAAACCAAGGUAAUGGACAGCAGAGUCCCGUGAACAGAAUGGACAGCAGAAUAGACUCCCAAAGCCUGACUUCUUCUAUCAACACCAUUUUUACCUUAGUACAAUCAGAUGCAGAACAACCCAAACUCUUUCAGCACCAGGAAGGGGGCACGGCUGCCUUUUGACUGAGACACUGUGGUGACUUCAAGUUUCUUCUUACCACUGUUUGCAGGAUUCAGUUGGAUUUGGAACAAACAUUUACUCUUUAUCUCCAAAGACAACAUUUGUUGAGCUUUGGGAGUCUCGGUGAAGCCGAAGGUUUAACAGCCAUUCAGAACAGGCCUGGAUGCAGAGCCAACAGCACGGGUGAGGAUGAGGUUGGAGAGCAGGAGCAGCCCUGGAGUUCAGUUAAUGGAGUUUCCCACUAGGUGGUAGUGAAGAGAAUCGCGUCACAGGUACCGUUACGUCACCUCCAACUCUAAGUUAAAACUGGCUCUUCUCCCUCCCACACGAGAAGGAACAAAGAACGAGGCUGCACAGCUGGACUGGAACAAUCGCUCCGCGCUCUGCGAAGCCCCACACGCACAAACGGCUCCCGUGCAGGAACGGGAGGUGGGAUUAAUUCAAGGGAGCAGACCCAAGAUAAGAUGCUAGUUCUGCAAUUGGCAGAAACACAAUCAGGGACUGAAGAUUUGGCGAUGGCACCAAAGAAACCAAGGGGAGAGAUGAGCGGGAUCAGCGGCUGCCAGUUCCUCUGCCUGGGACUUGCAGGGACGGUGGUAACAUGAAGU